GACGAACGCUGGCGGCGUGCUUAACACAUGCAAGUCGAACGGAAAGGCCCUGCUUGCAGGGUACUCGAGUGGCGAACGGGUGAGUAACACGUGGGUGUUCUCCCCUGCACUUCGGGAUAAGCCUGGGAAAGUGGGUCUAUUACCCGAUAGGAGCCAUUUUUAGUGUGAUGGUUGGAAAGUUUUUUCGGUGUAGGAUGAGCUGGCGGCCUAUCAGCUUGUUGGUGGGGUAAUGGCCUACCAAGGCGGCGACGGGUAGCCGGCCUGAGAGGGUGGACCGCCACACUGGGGCUGAGGGACGGCCCAGACUGCUAAGGGAGGGAACAGGGAGGAAGAUUGAACCAUGGGGGCAAGGCUGGUGCAGCGAGGCCGCGGGGGGGAUGACGGCCUUCGGGGUGUAAAAUCCCUGCGAUAGGGAAGAAGGUUUUUGUGACGGUACCUAGAUAAGAAGCACCGGCUAACUACGUG
rnacentral:rRNA from 1 species